rnacentral:rRNA from 1 species
UACGUAGGGCGCAAGCGUUGUCCGGAAUUAUUGGGCGUAAAGAGCUCGUAGGUGGCUUGUCACGUCGGGUGUGAAAGCUUGGGGCUUAACUCCAGGUCUGCAUUCGAUACGGGCUGGCUAGAGGUAGGUAGGGGAGAGUGGAAUUCCUGGUGUAGCGGUGAAAAUGCGCAGAUAUCAGGAAGAACACCCGUGGCGAAGGCGGCUCUCUGGGACGGUACUGACGCUGAGACGCGAAAGCGUGGGGAGCGAACAGG